GGCCUUUUGAUUAUAAUUUAAGGUCUGACCUGCCCAAUGAGAAUUUAAAUGGCCGCGGUAUUUUGACCGUGCAAAGGUAGCAUAAUCAUUAGUUUUUUAAUUGAAAGCUGGAAUGAAAGGUUGGAUGAAAAAAUAACUGUCUCUAUUUAAAUUUUUUAGAAAUUUAUUUUUAAGUCAAAAAGCUUAAAUAUUACUAGAAGACGAGAAGACCCUAUAGAGUUUUAUUAAUUUUUAUUAUAAGUUUUUUAGAAUUUACUUUUUUAUUAUAAAAAUUAAUUUGAUUGGGGUGAUUGAAAAAUUUAAUAAACUUUUUUUAUAUAAACACAUUUAUAUAUGAGUGAAUGAUCCUUAAAUAAAGAUUAUAAGAUACAAUUACCUUAGGGAUAACAGCGUAAUUUUUUUAAAGAGUUCAAAUCGAAAAAAAAGAUUGCGACCUCGAUGUUGGAUUAAAAUAAAAUUUUGGUGUAGAAGCUAAAAUAUUUAGGUCUGUUCGACCUUUAAAAUUUUACAUGAUCUGAGUUUAAACCGGUGUGAGCCAGGUUGGUUUCUAUCUCUAUUAAAUUUUAAUACUUUAGUACGAAAGGACCAAGUAUUUCAUUAAAAAUUUCGUUUAAGAAUAAAAUU
rnacentral:rRNA from 1 species